rnacentral:lncRNA from 1 species
GACUGGUUAAGGAUGGGCCAUUAGGUUUAUUAGAAGUGGAGGCACUGCUAGUCUAUGAAUCUUGCUAAGAAGGUAAAAUGACCAAGCGGCCCUUUGCGACAAAAGGCAAUAGGUCAAAUGAUAUAUUAGAAUUGGUUCAUUCUUAUUUGUGUGGCCCCAUGAAUAUCCAAGCUAGAGGUGGUAUGAGUAUUUCAUUAUUUUCAUUGAUGAUUACUCAAGGUAUGAGUAUAUUUAUGUGAUGCAUCAAAAGUCUAAAUGCAUCGAGAAAUUCAGAGCAUUUAAGGCAUAAACAAAAAAGCAUCAUGGUAAAUGUAUUAAGACACUACGAUCUAAUCGUGGUGACGAGUACCUCUUGGAAAAUUUUUUGGAUUACUUAUCAGAGGAGGGGACUGAGUCCCAGUUGUCUGCACUAGGUAUGCCACAAUAGAAUGGUGUAGUAGAAAGAAAGAACAGAACUCUUAUGGAUAUAGUCAGAUCUAUGAUGAGUUAUUCAGAUAGGCCUAAUUUGUUUUAGGGCCAUGCACUUGAAAUAGCAGCAUACAUUAUAAACUUGGUUCCAUCUAAAUCAGCACCUAUUACUCCCAUAGAACUAUGGAAUAGGCAUAAGCCUAGUCUACAACAUGUUCGAAUGUGGGGUAGUCCAGCUCACGUGAGAAAGGAAAAGUAGAUAAGUUGGAAUUGAGAACAGAUGUCUGUUUUUUUGUUGGUUAGCCUAGAGGAACGAUAUGUGGUUUAUUUUAUUGUCCUAAGGAUCAAAAGGUCAUUGUUAGCACCAAUGCCUGAUUCAUAUAAGAGGACUAUAUAAUGAACCACAAACCCAAAAGUAGGAUUGUUCUAGAAAAGUUAAGAGGAGAUAGACCAACACAUAAUUCUUCAAUAUCCAUCGUACAAGAAGAAGUACCAAAACAUUGAGUCAUCGACAUCCCAUUGCCUCGUCGUAGUGGGAGGAAUGUUGUGACUCAAGCAAAUACUGAAACGCAAUAUGCAGAUACCAUCAACACAUUGGUUUUACAACCAGGUGAUGAUGAUGGUGAACAAGGAUCAAAAUCAACAGAGCAAUUAAAUUUUGAUACACAAACACAAGACAUUCCACGUCGUAGUGAGAGGGUUAGACACCAACUUGAUUGGUAUAUGUUCUUUGGAGAGUCUUAUGACAUGAUCCUUGAUGAACUGAAUGCUGAACCAAUAAACUACAAUGAAGCACUACAAGACAAAGCCUCAGAACUUUGGAAAAAAGGCUAUGACAUCAGAGGUGGAGUUUAUGAACUUUAAUCUAGUCUAGAAUCUUGUAGAACUACCUGUAGGGAUAAAACCCAUUGGAUGGAAGUGGAUCUAUAAGAAGAAGACAGGAGCAGACGGGAAGGUGGAAAACUUCAAAGCUAGGCUUGUUGCAAAAGGGUUCACUCAGAAAGAGGGGAACGACUAUGAGGAAACUUUUUCGUCAGUAGCCAUGCUAAAAUCUAUCCGGAUUCUCUUAUCCAUUAUGGCUCAUUUCGAUUAUGAAAUUUGGCAAAUGAAUGUCAAGAGAACUUUUCUUAAUGAAAGUCUUGAUGAGUGCAUCUGUAUGAUGCAACCAGAUAGUUUUGUAGCAAAAGGCCAAGAGCAUAUGGUGUGCAAGAUUAAGAAGUCCAUUUAUGGACUUAAACAAGUAUUUAGAUCUUGGAACAUCCGUUUUGAUCAAGUUAUUAAGUCUUAUGAUUUUGAUUAGUGCAUUGACAAGUCGUGUGUGUAUAAGAAACGUAGUAGAAAUGUGGUGGUUUUUUUGAUACUGUACGUGGAGGAUAUCUUGCUCAUCAAAAAUAAUGUGGGGGUAUUAUCUUCGGUGAAUGUAUGGUUAUCCAAAAAAUUCGAUAUGAAGGACUUGGGAGAAGCCGGUCACAUCCUUGGGAUCAAGGUUUUACGAGAUCCCAAGCAAAGGAUGUUGGGCUUAACACAAGUUAUUUAUAUCGAUAAGAUUCUUGCCCAUUUUAGCAUGUAGGAUUUCAAGAAAAGGUUCUUCCCAUUUAGACAUGGAAUAUUACUAUCUAAGGAUCAAUGUCCUAAGACACCAAUUGAGAUAGAGAACAUGAAGGUAGUUCUCUAUGCAUCAAUAGUGGGAAGUCUCAUAUAUGUUAUGUUUUGCAUUAGACUUGACAUUUGUUUUGCCGUAGAUAUAGUCAGCAGAUAUCAGUCGAACCUAGGGCAGGAACACUAGAUUGCUGUAAAGAAUAUAAUCAAGUACCUAAAAAAGAUGAGGGAUUAUAUAUUGGUUUACCAGGCAAAUAGUCUAGUACCCAUUGGGUACACAAACUCAGAUUUCCAAUCAGAUAAGGAUUCCAGAAAAUCGACCUCAGGAAAUGUAUUUACCAUAGGAGGUCGAACCAUUAGUUGGAGGAGUAUCAUGCAAUUUUGUGUUACUGAUUCCACCAUGGAGGUCGAGUAUGGGGGAACCUCUGAGGCAGCCAAAUAGGUCGUUUGGCUCAGAAAUUUAAUCCGUCACCAAAGAUUGAAUUUCUUGUAGUGGCUGUUAGUGUUGUGAACUAGUUUAUGCCAUCAUCACGUACCUCUCAUCAAGAUGUUGUAUCACAUGCUCUGGUAGCUUAAGACAUUUCUUGUUCUUGAGUUGUUCUAUAAGUUUGAAAUCCAGUCGGGCCUCUCAUGUUCGACAAAUGUUGAUUAUGCGGGUUCUAACAGUGAUAGACGCUCUACUUCUAACUUCUGUACUUUUCAUGGUAGUCAUCUCAUAUCCUGAAAAAGUAAGAAGCAAAAUGUUGUCUCUCAGUCUUCUGUUGAAGUCGAGUACAAUGCCAUGGCUCAGGGCAUAAGUGAGCUCAUUUGGCUACGAUCUCUUCUAUCUAAGUUGGGCUUCUCUAUGACAGACUCGUCGUCUUUGUUCUGUGACAAUAAGUUCGUUAUAUCUUCUGAUUCAGUUCUUCAUCAGAGAACGAAACAUAUUGAAGUUGAUAUUUACUUCAUUCAGAAAAAAGUUAAUUCAGGAAUUAUUACUCUCUCCUUUGUCCCAUCAUCUGUUCAGACUGCUAAUAUGUUCAUUAAUUCUAUUGGACUCUCAUUGCAACAGUCAUCUCUUGUCAAGCUAGGGUUCGUCGAUAUCUUCACCUCAACUUGAGGGAGAGUGUUAGAGUUAGAAGAUUUGGAGAAGAUUCAUGCCUAAAUUAGAUUAGGAAUAAUUCUUUUAUUUACGUAUCCAUAAAAGGUCAUGUUGACCAUAAUUCAUGUUCGUAAUUAUUCUGUAUUUAUUUUAUUUUAUUUUGUUUCCUUUCUAAACUCAUAGGUUGUAUUAUAUAUUCAUAGGUAGUUCAGCAAUACAAUUAAUCUUUUCCAUAAUUCUAUUUGCUAUUACUACCAACAAAACCCAUUACCAAAAAUCAACAAACCCAUAUCUACCAACACAAAACAAACAACCAUGUAUUGUAGUAGGACACAAACCAAUAGCUACCAAUACAAAAGCACCUAAAGUUUUCAGUGGAAUUGCCGGCGAAGUCUCUGAGGUGGUAGAAGAUGUCGUUGGCUUGGUGUGGUGAGAGAAACACUUUUGAGAAAUAAAGCAUGGUCCUAGCAAUCCUUGAUUUGGAACAAAAAAAUCUAAAACCCUAGCCUCUAGUUUGCAUAUAUAUAGAUCCCCAAACCUAGUCAGUUCCCUUGACCGUUCGCUGGUUGAACUAGCAUUUUUUCGGUUCUCUUUAAAAACACAAAUUUUUAGCCUAAAAAGGGUUAGAGAGUUAACCGGAUUGGAACCCGGCCCAGUUGAUGGUUCAACCCUUUGAACCAUCCAGUCUGAUCCGGGUUUAAAAACAUUAUCCCAUCAUUUACCAUGAAAAAAAGUUUCCAAGUGAGUACUUUCUAUCCUUUCUUGUUUUAUCCUUUCUUCCUCCUUCCCACACUGAAUGACGAGCUCAUUAAGAAUCCAUUUAUCCCUUUGAGUAUUAUAAUUAAUCUUAAAGGAAUCAAAUUGUGUUGGGAGAAAAAUAAGAAUGAGGUGCACAAGAAUAUAUCAAAUAAUUUUAACUUUAGUACCCUCAAUUUGGUAACAAGAUUAGACAUCUCUAUAAUGUACUUCCUUAUAUUUCCUUUGCCAUUAUACCACAUGGUGACAAGCUUGCAAGCGUACUUGCCUCCAUCUUUUUCAAAUGCAACAAAUCGGUCUGCAAUUUGGCUAAGAAAUUUCUUGGCAUUCGCUUCCUCGGUCAUUGCAUCUCGAAUAAUCUAAAAAUUAGCGUACUGCUUUAAUAGCAUAAGAUUGGCUUAGAGUGCUUCCACUUUUCCUAAGUAGGCCUUUCAUCAAUUGUACUUUCAUCGGUUAAUUUUGGAGGCUCAUCAAAAAGUAAUGCAUAAUCUAAAUCCAUGCACCAAAGAACAAUAGUAACAUGCUCUUUCCACUUAACAUAAUUGGAUCCAUUAAGAGCUUUGGAAUAUUAUUCAAAUUAGCACAUAUAGAAUAAGCGUUCACUAUAUAUAAAGGAACAUGUUUGUUCUCUGCCUUGAAUACCUCUCUAGAGGCUUGGGAGAGUUGAAGAACAAUGCAGACUUCAAUUUCUACCCAAAAUGUGGAGGAUUGAAAAUCAUCCAUCUAGCCUUUGCGGAUGACCUGGUUCUUUUCUCCAAAGGAGAUCCCACAUCAGUUUCUCUGCUUAUGGAAAAGCUCAACGACUUUAGAGAAUGCUCAGGUCUAAAAAUCAAUUUCUCCAAAUCAAGCUUUUAUUCAGCAGGUAUCAGUAGUAUGGACAUGGAAGCUAUUAAGGGAACAACAGGUUUCUCCCAAGGAUCUUUUCCUUUUAGAUAUCUAAGAAUUCCAAUAGCAAGCUCCAGACUUAUAAUUUCCCAAUUUAGCCCUCUGAUAAACAAAAUCUCAGGCUAUAUCAGUGCGUGGGCAGGGGCCAAUCUCUCUUAUGCUAGCAGGACAUAAUUGGUGAAAUCAUUCCUUUAGGGAGUAAAGUGCUUUUGGCUAUCCAUCCUCCCCAUUCCAGUAGGGGUUAGAGCCAAAAUAGUUUAGCUGUGUAGGA